UACGUAGGGUGCGAGCGUUGUCCGGAAUUAUUGGGCGUAAAGAGCUCGUAGGCGGUGUGUCACGUCGUUCGUGAAAACCUGCAGCUUAACUGUGGGCGUGCGGUCGAUACGGGCAUCACUGGAGUUCGGCAGGGGAGACUGGAAUUCCUGGUGUAGCGGUGAAAUGCGCAGAUAUCAGGAGGAACACCGGUGGCGAAGGCGGCUCUCUGGGACGGUACUGACGCUGAGACGCGAAAGCGUGGGGAGCGAACAGG
rnacentral:rRNA from 1 species